GUCCAUGUGAGCUCUGAGAUCAGAU
rnacentral:piRNA from 1 species